UCGGUCUCAUGCAUGAGAAGCGGGCGUCUCAAACUGCCAGGCCACCACCAUGAAAUGUUACACUUUUCGAAAAUACACUUAAUGCUGACUGUAGGAUCAUAGGCGGUGCCGGUGUGGGCGUGAGGUCGCGGGAAUACUGCUAUAAAAGCGCGCGCGUAUCGUCCCGCCUUAAAGAUACUCUUGUUGCCUCGGAACCUUGACGGAGCGCACACUAGCUCGGGCAUUUUAUUUAAAUAAAUAAUUCAGAUUAAAAAAAGACUAUUGUAAUACAGUUCACAUUUACUUUACAAAAUAUUGGUCCUUGGAUCAUAAAGAAGAAACAAUUAUAUUACUGAAAACAUCACCGUGAAAUAAAAGAAGGCGUUUCAUUUCGCUGGUGUUUAUUCUGAGGGAGUAUUAUUGUAUUUGAACAGAAACUGAAGUGCUUGCUGGUGAUUGCGACUCCCCAUUUGCUGAGCGUGAGGACUUCGCCGCCAGUUCUUCGGUCUAGUCUCGAGUGGUACUCACGCGCAGUCUACUCGGUUCUUCUGCCAACAUGGCCGGGUCGGAGAUGGGCUGCAAGGAUACUUGAUCAGGUGAACAUAAUUCAAACAGUUGAAGGAAAUAACUACAUUGGCUUGAGUUUAGGACAUAUUUGAUUGAUUUAUGACCAAUAGUCAAGAGAAACUCAACUUUUAUAGUUCAAAAUAUUGAAUGUAAAUAAUGUCAUUAUUGUAUGGGAUUUGUUAUGUGAUCGUUACAAUAACAACCGUAUUUUAGUACAUAACCAUUUUUAAACCUUAUUUGAAGUAGAACCAAUGUUAAUAACCAAAAAUUUAAAAAGAAUCCUACUCAAUAUUGGUCUACUAAUAACAAAAUUAAGGAACAUAGGAAGAAUAAAUUUAAUUUAUUUUCAUUUAUAAGCAGGAAAGUACACUGGUUUCAAUCAGUGGAGUUAUUAGCUAACAUUAGUUUAGAAACCAACAUUAUUUCUGCUUAUAUAACAAUUAUUUCAAUAAAACAGAUUAUAAGUCAAUUCAAAACAAUAAAAACCUUUACAAUAAUAAUUAUGUACUAAAAAAACUAUUUUAGUCCUCAAGAAAAGGCAAUGUUAAUGCAGGCAAUCUUUUCGAAACCUAUCUAUAGGAAAUCUUGUUUAUAAAGUUUUCAUGAAUUGCUUAUCUUAUGGAUAUUCUAAAAAUGAUAAAUUUUCAUAUUGAAAAUUACACAAUGCAGAAGAAAGUAUAACAAGUUUUUGCAUUUAGAGGGCAAUUCUGAUUCCAUUUCAAUUCACUUUUUUUCUGAUAUGCUGCUUUUGCUAUCCAAUUCCAUGUUGUGCUAUCAGCCAAUUUUACGCAGCUUGCUACUUCUGCGCAUUUCUAAAUGUUCACAGCUGAUGGAAGUGUCUGGCGAGGCGGGUAUGAAGUACACUGCGCACCUAUUGCUAGGAAAUGGCAGCACGGGGAACUUCAUUACAGAAAGCUUAACAAAACAUCUGAUUUUUUUACGACGCGGUUCCGGCAUCAAGGCCAACCUUAAAGUUCCAGGGGGAAGUGAAGCCGGGAAUCCUGAUUCUGAUCAAGAACAAGACAGGCUAGGUUAUGAAUAUCUAUCCUGGCGUUGAGUUGAAGACGCUGAGGAGCACCACAUAUUGUGCCUACAACGGCAUCCGCCCUGGCUUGAGAGUAUAGACUACAAGUUUAAGUGGAAGGCUUUUUAGACUUGUAGUCUAUACUCAGGACCUAGGAAUACGUCAGUAGAUGACGUAGGAUCAUUAGACAUUACGCUUUCCUCGGCAUGACGGAGUGCAGACUAACUCGAACAUUUUAUUUUUAUACAUUACUCUGAAUUAAAAGUAUUGUAAUACAGUUAAUUUUUACAAAAACUUUUAGUAGUAGGAUACUAACUAAUGAAAAACUCCUGUUAAAAUUUCAGGUUCUUAACAACCUGCAUUUGGACUAAAUUUGUUAAUUAAAUAUCAUUGUGCAUAUUAAAAGCUUGAAUUUCACCUAAUUUCUAUCACUGACUAGGGUGUUUGAAAAAUUUAGACUCACAUGACAUGACUCUUAGUAUGUUCAAUGAUGGCUUUAUGAAAAUAAUACUUUUUGCUCAUUUCUCCUUGAAUGUAUUCUUGCUGGCAAAGGCAUAAUAAUACCUUGCUUACAAAAUGAAACUUUUUCAUUUCAUAAAAUUCCCAAUUCUAAGAAUGUUGAAUGUAGAAUAGUUUGUAGAGUAAUUCAUUGAACCCCUUCCUUGUGAUUUGGCGAUGCUUCUUUAAUAUAUACUUUGUUGAUGCUUCAAGAAAAUGAUGAUUUGUGGUGGUAUAUGGUUAUCAGCUAACUUAUAUAUACCUUGAACUUUAACAUAAUAAUAUGUUUUAUUUUUACACAUUUUUUUUUAAAUAAACUGCAGUAUUGGUGUCUUCACUUUGAAUACUGAUAUCUAAUUAAGUUUGAAUCAGAACUGUUUAUGUUAUAGAAUGGAAACUGGCAUGGCAAUAUCAUUUUAUUUCAUUAAAUGAGAUUUCUCAAA